UUAUAACUACCCUAGUUAUCCCACAAAGCCUCUCCAUGAAGUCCUGGUGGAGAUGACAGAUGGCGGCGUGGACUACGCCCUGGAGUGUGUUGGAAGCCCGAUGGUCAUGAGAGAGAGAGAAGGAGCAGAUGGAUCCACGUCCUGAAAGUCCUUCUGGGGCGCACUUGAAGUGGACCUACUUUGGGGGCCAGAAGAGCGUAGUGGAGGUGCCUGAGUUGGUGGACGAGUAUGUGAACCAGAAGCUGAAGAUGGACGAGUUCAUGAGCCACAACCUCUCUCUGGAAAAGGUUUUGACGGAAACAGGUUUAAAUAUGAAGCCUUUGAUUCAGAUUCAAGCAGCAUCUGCAGACAGAAUCCCACUGGAUCCAAGAUGAUCCGGUUCUGGAACAGCUUCUGCUGAAGGUUUUCGGCAGCAUUGGCCUGACUGUUUCAUGCUGUUGUCGAUGUGGGUCAUCUUUUAAAGAAGGAGCUGAUGCUGCGUCAGUUUAAAGAACAACUUGUGUGGCUGAGGCCUUCCUGAACCUCAAACCCUCCAGAGGAACUCAUCGUCGUCUCCUUGCCAAACCAACACAGGUUGUGGUCAUGGUCCCGGAGCCUGUGACGUCCUUUCUGCUGGAACGCGAUCAGAAAACAAAGAAGAAGACUCGACCACACAGCCCUUCACACGUGCACAGUCACGAGGAGGUCCGUGCACGACAGCUCUAAGCUUUUGUUGUCUUUAGUCUGACAGUAAAGCAGUAAUUGAGAGAUUAGCUGAGGCUCUUUUGGGGACACUCCCUUGUUUGGUCUCAGGCACACCGUUCAGCCUGAGCAGGAAGGGCCCCCCCUCACAGAAUUAGCAGUCUGGUUCUUGGCUGGGUCCAGAAAUGACCUGCAGUGACCUGUCGCUACCUUCCGAGCCAACACCUUUGUUCUUAGCAACACCAAGACAUAAAUUCCAUUGGUUUAGAUCUAAGAAAAGUGCCCUUUUAUUCUGAGCGUGGUGCCCCCUGGAGAGCAGAUGGGAACAGUUGACUGUCUGGAUCAUGGAGGACUUUUUGAAGAAGAAUUAUGCUGUUCUAUCAGAGAACCUUAUUAAAAACAUUAGCAGUUGGCUUUUAUGCUCAGGUAAAAAAAAAGGAUAUUUUCUUCCUGUUUACCUCCCAGAUUACAUCAUCAUCAACCUUGCUACUGAGAAACACAAACAGUGUCUGCACUUCAGUACAUGUUCAUGUUCUUCUCUGCAUGAGGAGGAAAACAUCACUGAUGUCCAGCUCUGUUGGCUGUUUGAAGAGGACGUUUCUGCUGGUACUGGAAACGGGCCACAGAACCCCCCAAACUCCAAAUAAAACAUUAAAAU